rnacentral:sRNA from 1 species
CGCAGCGAGAAAACGUUGCCGCAGGCAACGACCCGAAGGGUGAGGAGCGGAGCGACGAAUAAUCCUUCCCCCACCACCA